GGGGCUGUGGCUCAGAAGUAGAGCGCUUGUCUCACACGCAUGAAGCCCUGGGUUCAAUCCUCAGCACCA
rnacentral:tRNA from 1 species